rnacentral:rRNA from 1 species
GUCAUUUCACAUAUCACCCUGUAGCCCAAGACUGAUUACACACUGAAGCUAAGCAGGGCUGAGCCUGGUCAGUACCAGGAUAGGAGACCUCCUGGGAAAACUAGGUUGGUGCUGGAA